GAUGAGCGCUGGCGGCGUGCCUAAUACAUGCGAGUCGAGCGAACGGACGAGAAGCUUGCUUCUCUGAUGUUAGCGGCGGACGGGUGAGUAACACGUGGAUAACCUACCUAUAAGACUGGGAUAACUUCGGGAAACCGUAGCUAAUACCGGAUAAUAUUUUGAACCGCAUGGUUCAAAAGUGAAAGACGGUCUUGCUGUCACUUAUAGAUGGAUCCGCGCUGCAUUAGCUAGUUGGUAAGGUAACGGCUUACCAAGGCAACGAUGCAUAGCCGACCUGAGAGGGUGAUCGGCCACACUGGAACUGAGACACGGUCCAGACUCCUACGGGAGGCAGCAGUAGGGAAUCUUCCGCAAUGGGCGAAAGCCUGACGGAGCAACGCCGCGUGAGUGAUGAAGGUCUUCGGAUCGUAAAACUCUGUUAUUAGGGAAGAACAUAUGUGUAAGUAACUGUGCACAUCUUGACGGUACCUAAUCAGAAAGCCACGGCUAACUACGUG
rnacentral:rRNA from 1 species